GCUUCUUCUCAUUUUCUAACUUGAGAUUUAUAUGUCAUUUCCCAGUAAGCUGGGCCCAAGAAGAGUGGCUGUUUCCAUGAGUCACACAUGUUAAAGUGUGGGUUAUGUACAACAAGGAUGCUGAUGAAAGGGAAGCCUUGCACAUCAGUGAGUGCUCACGCUUCUUGGUAAUAACGCUUUCUGCACCAGGUGAAACAUAAUUUCAUUACUGGCAUUAUACAUUUUAUAGUUUUAUUUCAUACAUCUUUUUUCAAAAUCAUCAUCAUCAGUGGGUUGUUGUGUGUUUCCCAGGUACUAUGGCCAUGUUCCAGAAACAUUCUCUCCUGACGUUUCGCCCACAUCUAUGGCAGGCAUCCUCAGAUCACAAUCACAACAACCCUGUGAUUCCGGCCAUGAAAACCUUCGACAACACGUCAUUAUCUUUAUUUCUACCCUGCCUUUCUCCCUGUGAGGAUUCAAAGUGGAGUCCCACUGAAAGGCUGUCUUUAUGGCAGGUGUCAACACCUAAUGAGAAAUUAGAUGCUAGUGGAAACUGUGUUCAUCAAGCUGUGUGGUAUAUAACUGGGAAACAUCUCUGCAAGCAAGGUGUGAAGGGCGAGAGGAAAAAGAUCCCACUGGCCAAGUGGAGAAGAUAUUGAUCUGCUAGGUGGGGUUGGUAGAAUCCACAUCCACAUCUAGAAUAGCCACAAUAACCUAAAAACUGUCAUUGCUCUGUAAUACUUCAUGCAUGUCGACCUCUUUUGCACACUUAUUUCAGUAUUGCAGUAAUAUAGAAUGGGUUGGUAUUAUUGUCCUGCUAUUGUUUAUGGCAGAUGAGUGGGAGCAGCAAAUGAAUUCAAUCCUUUAAGUGUCCAGUAGAAGUAAACCUGGUAGAAUUUAUUGCCAGGUUAACAUAGAGAAAAUUAUAACCUUAAAUCAGCAGUU
rnacentral:lncRNA from 11 species